CCUACGGGAGGCAGCAGUGAGGAAUAUUGGUCAAUGGUCGGGAGACUGAACCAGCCAAGCCGCGUGAGGGAGGAAGGUACAGAGUAUCGUAAACCUCUUUUGUCAGGGAACAAAGGCGGGGACGUGUCCCCGGAUGAGUGUACCUGAAGAAAAAGCAUCGGCUAACUCCGUGCCAGCAGCCGCGGUAAUACGGAGGAUGCGGGCGUUAUCCGGAUUUAUUGGGUUUAAGGGGUGCGCAGGCGGUCUGUUAAGUAAGCGGUCAAAGCCCGGGGCUCAACCCCGGCCCGCCGUUGAAACUGGCAGGCUCGAGUUGGAGAGAAGUAUGCGGAAUGCGCGGUGUAGCGGUGAAAUGCAUAGAGAUCGCGCAGAACUCCGAUGGCGAAGGCAGCAUGCCGGCUCCACACUGACGCUGAGGCACGAAAGCGUGGGUAUCGAACAGGAUUAGAUACCCUGGUAGUC
rnacentral:rRNA from 1 species